AAGGACCGGAGCGACGGUCCACCAGUUCAUUCACAAACGUGAGUCACGGCUCUGAUGCAUUUUUUUUAAUAUUUUUUGCGCAUUCGAUUAAAGCCCAUCACGUGAUAAGAGUGUCUUUGUGUGCUUCUUACAUAGUAGAACAAUAAAAAAUGAGGUGCGACUAGUGUUUCGUUCAUAUGGGAAUAAGUCGAGGUGCUGGGGUAUUUCGCUUGAGAUUAGAAUUA
rnacentral:lncRNA from 1 species